rnacentral:rRNA from 1 species
GUGGGGAAUUUUGCGCAAUGGGCGAAAGCCUGACGCAGCAACGCCGCGUGGAGGAUGAAGGCCUUCGGGUCGUAAACUCCUGUCAGGGGGGACGAAAGCCGCGCAAGCGGUUUGACUGUACCCUCUGAGGAAGCCACGGCUAACUCCGUGCCAGCAGCCGCGGUAAUACGGAGGUGGCAAGCGUUGUUCGGAAUUACUGGGCGUAAAGGGCGCGUAGGCGGCUUGGCAAGUCAGAUGUGAAAGCCCCGGGCUUAACUUGGGAAUUGCAUCUGAAACUGCUUUGCUUGAGUCCUGGAGGGGGUAGUGGAAUUCCCAGUGUAGCGGUGAAAUGCGUAGAUAUUGGGAGGAACACCUGCGGCGAAGGCGGCUACCUGGACAGUGACUGACGCUGAGGCGCGAAAGCUAGGGGAGCAAACGGGAUUAGAAACCCUAGUAGUCC